UUGGAUUUAGGCUCCAUAGCAACCCCGGGCUCUGACACCGUGUCAUGUCUCCUGCUGGUGAGCGAAUCUGAACCGAGAGGGUUGACGUUUGAACGCGGAAGUGGAACCCAAUACGCCCCCACGCAAUAUACCACCAUGAAGAAGCUCAGACUUCAAUUCCAAAUUCCCAGACUCGUCAGAAUUCUGUGCUGGAUGUGGCAGUUCAGAGAGAUCUAACCCCAAGCCUCAGCCCACAACUCUUCUCUGUCUUGUACUGUGAGGGCUUUGUGCAUGUGUGUGGACACAGCCCACAAAUCCAAGGCCUAGUACCCAAUUCCUUGUGCUGUCACUCUCUGAUUGACCUAAAGGGAGGGCAGACCCAGAGGAGAGACCUGCUCAGGCAAUGCAACUCGGAGCUCAGUGAUGUUCUUGAGUCACCAAAUCUCCAGUUUCACCCUGAUGCACAGUGAUAUUAACUUCUUAGAAAUUACUGGAAAUCAUGCCCCUGUCCUUCAGCAGGGUCAUGAAUUGUUGAGGAAAUGCUGAGAUAUUAAGAAGUUUUGGCAGGGACUAAGGAAGUAGCCCAGUAGUAGAACACAUGCUUCGCAUAUACGAGGCAUAGAAAAAAAAUGUUUUGGCAUUUCUCAGUAAGGUUGAUUUUUCCUUAAGAGGUUAAAAAAAAAAAAGUCUCAUGAAAAGAACUCUCUACCUUUCUCCUACAGACCUUAGUAACUCUAUUCGUUGGUUCUGAGUGCCGUUAGUUAUUUUACUUCUUUUGUUCACUAGGUUAUAAAUGUUCACUCUUACCACCAAAAGGAAUGUCUUAGAAACCAAAUUUUAUGCCACUUCCUCCUAUCAAGCUAUAUGAGGAGAGGAUGACUAAUGGAUAAUUCUAAGGAAGUGCAAGAGUGGUUCCUGGUCACCAUUUGACCCAGCUAUCCCAUUCCUUGGUCUAUACCCAAAAGACUUAAAAUCAGCACACUACAGUGACACAGCCACAUCAAUGUUCAUAGCAGCUCAAUUCACAAUAGCUAGAUUAUGGA